UUACUGGAUAUAUUGUUAAAAAAGGAGAAGAUUGACUUAGAGAACUGAUGUGAUACCCUGUAAGAUGAGCUAUCCAGUAAGAUGGCAGUUUCAUCCAGUCACCCCAUACUACAGUACUGUUAUCUGAUGUGCUCUACAAAGUGUGGCUGCCCAAACCAUCUCAGAGCUUUUAACCACUGUAUAACCUGUAGAAUAGGUCAAGGUCAUGAGGGAAGACAGAGCCAGGCAUAGUUGUGGUGCAGUCCUGAGACCUCUGGUGGAGGGAGCUACUGUGAGCGGUGCAGUGGUUUGUUUACAAACAGAGGGGUGCACAUGUUCAAGUAAUGCCGAUAUUUAAUGACUGAGGAGUUUGCACAAUACCAACAGAGGCCAUCUUACUCAAACUGGAUAGUUUAAGUCCAUUAUUCUAUAAGUGGACUGCACUGUUAAUCCUUCCUGCAAAGUUCCGAGAAAAGGUACCAUUGUGUGUAUAUAAAGAAGGGCUGUGUGAUGAUCCUCUUUAGCACAGAGUUCAAAGACCUAGAUGAUGUCAACACUGGAAAGGUGUUUAUGCAGAAUUUUAUCACAUUUCUUGUGGAAGUAGUGAGCAAGGACCAGAAAUUGUUGGUGGUUACUGCGGCUCUGGACGUCAGCGUUGAUCAUCUGUACCUGUUGUCAUGGAGAUCAGGGUGACAGACAUACUCCAGACCAUAUGGUACCACAGCUGACAGCUGAGAUUCAUCAACAGUAAAGCAGCCUGGGAGCCCACCUUCCUAUCAGUAUAUGACAGCAAGGACAAAUCUGGUUCAGUUCAUCAAAUACAAGUAUUGACCAGUAGAUUAACUUAGACCCAUUCCCAUACCUAGAUCGAUCUAGCAGGAUCGACCCAUCUCACUAAAUUGCAUUCAGAUUAUGCAGCUUAGAUGUCUGGCACACCUACUAAACUUUACGUCAAUCGAAAUCAAGUGAAGUCUAAUGCGUUUAAUUCUUGAAAAUAAAAGAUAAUAUACAUAUCGUAACCUUUGAUGUGGUGAAAAACUUGAAAACUGGAUAAGGAAAGAAAAGGGAGCCAAUGUUCAGAUUUAUGCAUCAGAUUUUAUUUUCAGAAAUGAUGAUAAAAUAAAUCUUAUUUUUCAGGUAAAAUAAUACAUUUACAGAAAAUCAAAAUAUGGAGAGCAUCCGUAAUACAGGGACAUCGAAUGUUUUCUGAACUAAAAAAUAAUUAUUUGCUUGUCUUUAUAUGUAUUUAUUUUAUACAGUAGUUACACGCAAUAAAGUGGCAUGGUAUGGUAUACAGAUAUGUAUGUAUGCAUAUGUUUUUGAGAAAUGUAUAUGUGAGAAGUGAUUUGUAUUGUACUCCACAUUUUAAUGCUUAUUUCUUAAGUCUAAGUAAAGAAAAUAUAUAUUCUAUUUCGCAAAAUACAUGUUUAAUAAUCCUUACGUAGAAUACAUUGAUCAUAUGUUACUGAACAUGUCAAACUACUGUCUUUAAGUUAGUAAUUAAACUCAUCACAGGCAUCUGUAAGUAGCAGGAGAACGAGAUCAUGAUGGGUAAUUUAAACAAAUCUGCAGAUUGUUACUUUUCAUGAAAUUUGUAUUUGCAACUUAUUCGAA